UCCUUAGAUGUUCUGGGCAGCACGCGCGCUACAAUGGUCUUCGCAAACGGAUGCAUUCUCGAAGGAGAAUGCCAAUCUUGGAAUCUAUGCCUUGGUCGGGACAGUUGCUUGCAAUUUUUCGACUCGAACCAGGAAUUCCUUGUAAUCGUGAUUCAUCACAUCACGAUGAAUACGUCCCUGCCCUUUGUACACACCGCCCGUCGCUCCUACCGAUCGAAGAGUUAGGUGAAUUGUUUUGAUCGAUAAGAUUUGACUAUGGUCAACUCUCGUUGUGAAAUUCUGUGAAUCUGACUGUUUAGAGGAAGGAGAAGUCGUAACA
rnacentral:rRNA from 1 species